rnacentral:tRNA from 1 species
GCGCCCUUAGCUCAGCGGAUUAGAGCAUCAGACUACGGAUCUGAGGGUCGGGGGUUCAAAUCCCUCAGGGCGCACCA